rnacentral:rRNA from 1 species
AUUGAACGCCGGCGGCAGGCUUAACACAUGCAAGUCGAGCGGGGUGAUGGUGCUUGCACUAUCACUUAGCGGCGGACGGGUGAGUAAUGCUUAGGAAUCUGCCUAUUAGUGGGGGACAACAUCUCGAAAGGGAUGCUAAUACCGCAUACGUCCUACGGGAGAAAGCAGGGGAUCACUUGUGACCUUGCGCUAAUAGAUGAGCCUAAGUCGGAUUAGCUAGUUGGUGGGGUAAAGGCCUACCAAGGCGACGAUCUGUAGCGGGUCUGGGAGGAUGAUCCGCCACACUGGGACUGAGACACGGCCCAGACUCCUACGGGAGGCAGCGGUGGGGAAUAUUGGACAAUGGGGGGAACCCUGAUCCAGCCAUGCCGCGUGUGUGAAGAAGGCCUUAUGGUUGUAAAGCACUUUAAGCGAGGAGGAGGCUCUUUUGGUUAAUACCCAAGAUGAGUGGACGUUACUCGCAGAAUAAGCACCGGCUAACUCUGUGCCAGCCGCCGCGGUAA